AUGCUGUUGCCAUGCUACACGGCUGACACAAGAUGCCUGCUGCCAGGCCCCGCGCCACCAGGGAGCAUGCUGGGAUACGGGCGGGUUCUCGGCCCAGCUUUCAUGUGCACAGCUGCUCACCUUAUAGCCGGCAGUACACCCACGGCCCGUCUGCAGGCUCCCGCCGGACGCUCAAACACACAGGGCUGUUGGACUGAAUGCAGUGAUCUGCUGGCGUUUGACAGCUGGAGGGAGUGUCGAGGGCAGUCAAACUCUCCGCACAUGAUGACCUCCCGUCAUCCAGGAACCUUUCGCUACAGCCUUUUUCUCCGUUUGAGGGACGUUGACCCCCGGGGGACUUCGAGGUCAAGAGGUCAGCAGCAAUGUCACUCACAUCACCCCUCUCUCUCUCGGCUUUGCUUUGACUCUUUCCUUGACGUCCUUGUAUUCCUGCUAUGCUAAACUUUAUUCAACUUGUCAGACACUUAAGAAUUGACCAAAUGCCUUCUCACCCCCUCAAUGUCACAGCAAGUAUAUAAAUAUAUAUAUACACAAAUGAAUUAAUCAAAAAUAAGCAGUGCCUCCAUGUGGCCACACAAGGUUUCUCUUUGAAUGCUGAAACAACGGCACAUUAAAGAGACCAAGCUUUUUGUUUGCAGUUGAUCCUCUGCAUACACAUUUGCAUCGCUUAUUUUAAUUUCUUGUUUUUGUGUCUUUGGAUUUUGGAGUGAAAUGUGACUGUAGCUGUUUUGUGAUUGACAGAUUCCUAUGAACACGUUUCUCCCAAACCUUCAUGAGAAACAUCUGUAACCUCCAUUCUCCUGUGAUUUGUGUUUAAUAAGUGAUUUCCUGAUGUGCAUCCUCGUGUCCCGAGCUGAACAUGAUGCCUAAACAUGGCUCGUGUAAGGUGUUUGAUUCCCGUCCUUCAUUGUGUUGAGUCUGACAGAAGGGUGUCUGCUCCUCAGUGUAAUGUGUGUGUUUGGCUUACAAAAGACGUCUGAAUGCCAAGUGUUGUCUGGGCCGUCCAGCCUCUCACUCUUCCUCAGUAUCUCUCUCUCGUUCUCUCUAUCUUUGUCUCUCACACACAUUCUGCUCUAAUCUUUGUGCUGCUCUGAAGAGGCUUAGAGAGUAGCUUUGUCCGAAUGCCACCACAGUACAGUCCACUCUUCAACUAUCUGGCCUUUUUUCUUUGGCUGGU
ensembl:lncRNA